rnacentral:lncRNA from 1 species
CAAGUGUGGAUGUUUAUCAGAAGCCAGGGAAGUGUUUCAUGGGAUGCAGUUAAGGGAUGUUGUCUCGUGGACUUUAAUGAUGUCUGCCUAUGGUAGGAGUGGGGAAGGUCACAGGUCUAUUGAGUUAAUUACCAAAAUUCAGGAUUCAGGUCUUAUUCCCAAUUCAAUAGCCUCAGUUUCAAUUCUUUCAGCUUGCAGCCACACAGGGUUAUCAUCUGAAGGCCGACAUUAUUACAGAUUGAUGAGCGAGAAGUAUAAAGUAGUUCCUAGGUUAGAACAUUGUGCUUGCAUGGUCGAUCUAUUUGUACGUGCUGGUCGUGUAGAAGAGGCCUACAAUUUUAUCAGUCAGAUGCAAUGGAGCCUAACGAUCAGGUUUGGGGAGCUUUGUUGAGUGCUUGCCAUGUUUAUAAUAACAUGGAUAUUGGGCUUGUAGCUGCAGAUCAUCUUUUCCAAUUGGUUCCAGAGCAGUCUGGUUAUUAUGUCCUGUUAUUGAACAUAUAUGCAAAGGCCGGGAGAUGGAAUUCAGUCCAUCAGGAAAGGGAGAGGAAUCAGUGAAGUACCCGGAGUUAGUAAUGUUGAGCUCCAUAAUCGGGUCCACACCUUCCUUGCUGGAGACCAAUGGCAUCCACAAUCAAUGGAGAUCUACGAAGAGUUAGAUGUCUUCGUAGGGAAAAUGAAAGAAGCAGGUUAUGUCCCAAAAACCGACACUGCAUUGAAUGAUGUGGAGGAGGAAGAUAAAGAAAACCUUCUAGCAGUGCACAGUGAGAAGUUGGCCACUGUAUUUGCUAUUAUUAAUACUAAACCAGGGCAACCAAUCAGAGUUACUAAAAAUCUACGUGUCUGUGAAGAUUGCCACAUUGCUAUGAAGUUUAUGUCCAAGAUUACUGAGCGUAAAAUUGUAUUAAGGGAUACUAACCUUUAUCAUCACUUUGA